UUGACGGGGCCCGCACGAGCGGUGGAGCAUGUGGUUAAUUCGACGCAACGCGAAGAACCUUACCAGGGCUUGACAUCCCCUGACCGCGUAUGAAAGUACGUUUUCACCCUCGGGUGACAGGGAGACAGGUGGUGCAUGGUUGUCGUCAGCUCGUGUCGUGAGAUGUUGGGUUAAGUCCCGCAACGAGCGCAACCCCUACGUUUAGUUGCUAACGCGUGAAGGCGAGCACUCUAGACGAACUGCCGUUGACAAAACGGAGGAAGGUGGGGAUGACGUCAAAUCAUCAUGCCCCUUAUGUUCUGGGCUACACACGUGCUACAAUGGCCGGUACAGACGGACGCAAAGCCGCGAGGUGGAGCAAAUCCUAAAAAGCCGGUCUCAGUUCAGAUUGCAGGCUGCAAUUCGCCUGCAUGAAGUCGGAAUCGCUAGUAAUCGCAGGUCAGCAUACUGCGGUGAAUACGUUCCCGGGCCUU
rnacentral:rRNA from 1 species